GGUGUAUGUACCUAUAGUCCCAACUAAUCGGGAAGCUGGCGGGAAGACUGCUUGAGCCCAGAAGGUUGAGGCUGCAGUGAGCCAUGAUCACUGCACUCCAGCCUGAGCAACAGAGCAAGACCGUCUCCAAAAAAAAACAAAAAACAAAAAAAAACUUGUGUUAACGUGUUAAACUCGUUUAAUCUUUACAGUGAUUUAUGAGGUGGGUACUAUUAUUAUCCCUAUCUUGAUGAUAGGGACAGAGUGGCUAAUUAGUAUGCCUGAGAUCACACAGCUACUGCAGGAGGCUCUCAGGAUUUGAAUCCACCUGGUCCAUCUGGCUCCAGCAUCUAUAUGCUUUUUUUUUUGUUGGUUUGUUUUUGAGACGGACUUUCGCUCUUGUUGUCCAGGCUGGAGUGCAAUGGCACAAUUUCGGCUCACCACAACCUCCACCUCCCAGGUUCAAGUGAUUCUCCUGCCUCAGCCUCCCGAGUAGCUGGGAUUACAGGCAUGCGCCACCAGGCCUGGCUAAUUUUGUAUUUUUAGUAGAGACAGUGUUUCUCUAUGUUGGUCAGGCUGGUCUCGCACUCCCGACCUCAGGUGAUCUGCCUGCUUUGGCCUCCCAAAGUGCUGGGAUUACAGGCGUGAGCCACCAUGCCCGGCCAGCAUCUAUAAUAUAUGCUAAACCUUACCCACAGCUGCCUCUGUCUUGGGGUCAGGGUUCUUGAAUGGUCUGGGCCAGCCUGAGUUAGGAGUGGGAAGAGGAAGAGGAGGCACGCGCCAAAGUGUUCUUCCCGCCUGACCGAGUCCUCUGCGCCUAUGAGGAAGGUGGGCACCGCUGUCACCCUGUUUCCCAGGAAGCCAGCAGGCCCAGGGAGAUACUGGGAUUUGCCAAAGGCUCACAGCGAGCAAGCAGCAGUGGGUGCUGGCUCCUCACCACUCAGCCUGGCACACACUGUCUCUGAGCAGACCUGGGAGAAGGCAUGUGAAACCCACCUAGCCCUGGCUGGAAGAGAAGUGGGGGAGUGGAAAUGAAAAGUGGGGACUGGGAGGAGCUGCCCACGUGCCCUCCAUGGUUCCAGGAUGGCACUUUCAUGCUGGGAGUGAGCUUGCCCUGUGCCAGGCUGUCAUUGAGACGUUUUCCAUUCAACAACUGUUUCUCAGACAAGGCACAGGCAGGUUAGCUCUCCCAGGCCACUCAAGUAGUAAGGAAACAGAUUUAAACCCAGACAAUUUGGCUCCACGGCUAAGGCCCAGAGAGGGGUGGUGACAAGCCUAGGGUCACACAGCCACAGCCCCAGAGCUAGGAACUGCUGGCUAGGGCAAGCAGACAGCUGAAUCCUAGCCAACUGGAGGUGGAGCAGAGGUGGAGCCAGGGAGACCCAGGUGGCCUCUCUCAGAGUGGAGCACAGGUGGCAGAGUGGCCCGGGGCAGCAUGAAGUGGUGCUGGGGCCCAGUGCUGCUCAUCGCGGGUGCCACAGUCCUCAUGGAGGGUAAGCCGCCAUGUGCUGGGGUAUGGGUGUGGCCUGGUGGGGGCUCAGGGGCCAUCUCUGCCCCAGCAGUCCCUGCUUCUUGGUGGGGGGACCGCCUGUGGGCGACAGUCCACCAGUGGGGAUGUAACUCCGUAGGACUCUGUGGGGUGGUAUAUGUGGCCACCUGUGUCAACAUGGAUGAGAUUUUCUCGGGCCAGCUGCAGUUUGCGUUGGCGGGGCCUGUGGUCUUGUGUGUGUGUGAGGUGCUGCCUGCGUGUGUCCUGUGCCUGCCUCCCCCUCGACUUCCACAAUGACGUCAGGCAAACUCUGGGCUCCUCUGGCCUCAGUUUCCCUUUCUUUUCAUCCAUCCUCUGGGCAGCCUGGCUCAGCUGUCUCAUGGGGUGCCUGUGUGCCUGUGAGGGGCGGUGGGCAGGGGCCCUCUCUCUGGCGGGCUCUCAGACAGUUUCUGGGAAGGUGGGGAAGACUGAGUCUCUAGACCAGGGUGAGGUAAGUCUCCAUUUCUUGGGGCCCUCCCCACUUGGAAAUGAUGCAGGCCUCUAAUCCUUCCUCUUAGGCCUCUGCUGCUAAGAGGACAAUUAAGCUAAUGCUCUCUACACACACAGGCCGCCUGGCUGACUCAGUGGCGGGGGCAGGAGUUGGGGGUUCUGAAGCCUGGAGGAGGGCUGGCCUACUCCCAAGCUGAACCCCAAGCCCCAGAGUGCUGAGCACAGCUGAAGGAGAAUUAAUUACUGAGUGUGCACACUGAAUAGGUUCCAAUAAAAGCUGUCUCGGCCUCAUAUAAAUAUUUUCAUUCUGGGAGGGGCUGGUAAGGUAAUCAGAGUCACAGGCAAGGACCCUGGGCCCGCCCCCCAGCCCAUCCCCUCUCCUCCCCAAAGCUAGGCAGGCCUGGAGUCCCUGCAUCUUACCUGUGUCUCUCUCUUCCCAGGUCUUCAAGCCGCUCAGCGUGGUAAGGUCUGGGGACACGGGGCCUAGGUCUUACUUGGGUCUGGGUUGGGACUGGGGUGAGGUCAGGACAGGUAUCUGCUGUCAGUGUGACUAACUCCUUUCCACAGCCUGUGGACAGCGUGGCCCCGGCCCCCCCAAGCCUCAGGAGGGCAACACAGUCCCUGGCGAGUGGCCCUGGCAGGCCAGUGUGAGGAGGCAAGGAGCCCACAUCUGCAGCGGCUCCCUGGUGGCAGACACCUGGGUCCUCACUGCUGCCCACUGCUUUGAAAAGGCAGCAGCAACAGAACUGAAUUCCUGGUCAGUGGUCCUGGGUUCUCUGCAGCGUGAGGGACUCAGCCCUGGGGCCGAAGAGGUGGGGGUGGCUGCCCUGCAGUUGCCCAGGGCCUAUAACCACUACAGCCAGGGCUCAGACCUGGCCCUGCUGCAGCUCGCCCACCCCACGACCCACACACCCCUCUGCCUGCCCCAGCCCGCCCAUCGCUUCCCCUUUGGAGCCUCCUGCUGGGCCACUGGCUGGGAUCAGGACACCAGUGAUGGUAAGUGCUGGCCCAGACUGAAGCUCGGAGAGGCACUCUGCUUGCCCAGCGUCACAGUCUCAGCUCCCAACUGUCCUGGCUUCCAGUCUCCCUUGCUUCCCAGAUCCCAGACUCUAGCCCCAGCCCCGUCUCUUUCACCAGCUCCUGGGACCCUACGCAAUCUGCGCCUGCGUCUCAUCAGUCGCCCCACAUGUAACUGUAUCUACAACCAGCUGCACCAGCGACACCUGUCCAACCCGGCCCGGCCUGGGAUGCUAUGUGGGGGCCCCCAGCCUGGGGUGCAGGGCCCCUGUCAGGUCUGAUAGGGAGAAGAGAAGGAGCAGAAGGGGAGGGGCCUAACCCUGGGCUGGGGGUUGGACUCACAGGACUGGGGGAAAGACCUGCAAUCAGAGGGUGUCUGCCAUAGCUGGGCUCAGGCAUCUGUCCUUGGCUUUGUUGCCUGGCUCCAGGGAGAUUCCGGGGGCCCUGUGCUGUGCCUCGAGCCUGACGGACACUGGGUUCAGGCUGGCAUCAUCAGCUUUGCAUCAAGCUGUGCCCAGGAGGACGCUCCUGUGCUGCUGACCAACACAGCUGCUCACAGUUCCUGGCUGCAGGCUCGAGUUCAGGGGGCAGCUUUCC
rnacentral:lncRNA from 10 species